GACGUAGGGCGCGAGCGUUGUCCGGAUUUAUUGGGCGUAAAGAGCUCGUAGGCGGCUUGUCGCGUCGACUGUGAAAUCCCGCGGCUCAACUGCGGGUCUGCAGUCGAUACGGGCAGGCUAGAGUUCGGUAGGGGAGACUGGAAUUCCUGGUGUAGCGGUGAAAUGCGCAGAUAUCAGGAGGAACACCGAUGGCGAAGGCAGGUCUCUGGGCCGAUACUGACGCUGAGGCGCGACAGCGUGGGGAGCAAACAGG
rnacentral:rRNA from 1 species